GACGGUUUCCUCUUCGGAGGCACCUGCACAGGUGCUGCAUGGCUGUCGUCAGCUCGUGUCGUGAGAUGUUGGGUUAAGUCCCGCAACGAGCGCAACCCUUAUCCCCAGUUGCCAUCAGGUAAAGCUGGGAACUCUGGGGAGACUGCCGGUGAUAAACCGGAGGAAGGCGGGGAUGACGUCAAGUCCUCAUGGCCCUUAUAGGUGGGGCUACACACGUCAUACAAUGGCUGGUACAAAGGGUUGCCAACCCGCGAGGGGGAGCCAAUCCCAUAAAGCCAGUCGUAGUCCGGAUCGUAGUCUGCAACUCGACUACGUGAAGUCGGAAUCGCUAGUAAUCGUGGAUCAGAAUGUCACGGUGAGUACGUUCCCGGGUCUU
rnacentral:rRNA from 1 species